ACUGAUAAGGUUUACGGUCCCAGUGGCGAUUUGCAACUCCUGCUCCACAGCGCAGGUCGCUGAGCUCAGAGAAGGACAAUGAACUGAUCCAGAUCACAUAAAUGGUUUUUGGGACAGAGUACCCUGGAGAUUUGAAAAUGCCCACCCACCCUGGAUUUCAUCAUGGAAAUAGGCGUGCCUUCUCUUCACAUCAAUGACAUUGGAUUGCACAAGGAUCUCCUGGUCCUGUCUUCUUGACAAGAGGAGAAUGCAGCUCAGAAAAGGGAAGGCUGGAAACAAAUAAAGCGAGCCAUCUGUAGGCCUUCACCAUAGUGUGGCAGAAAAGUGGUGAAGGGUGAAAGGCCACAGACUGGCUGCCACGCGUGUUGUCAUGUGACAUCAGUCCCAUGUUGAACUUGUGAGGUGUCUCUUUGGUGUAGCUGGAAAGUGAAAAGCAUGCCCUGCAAACAAUACCUGACUUUUGUAAAUUUAUUUUUAAUAAGCAUACAUUACAGUAUCCUCUUUUACGUACAGUUUUAUGAGACCUGACAUAGGCCAGUGUAACCAUCACCACAAUGAGGAUAUAGGACAGCUCCAUUAACACACAGCAACUGCUUUCUGUUCAAACCCUUCAUAUUCAAAUACUCCACCUACCCAGUAACCCUGUGGACCACCAUCAGUUCUUCAUCCCUCUAGCUUUGCCUUUUACACAAUGUCAUAUAAAUGGAAAACUGGCUUUGUUCAUUUGCAUAAUGUGUAAUGUAUUUGAGAUCCAUCCCUGUUGUUGUGUCUAUCAGUAAUCUGU